GCAACACUCUGGGUGCCCACUUCUAACUCUACUGCAUGUCAGCUGGAAUUGGCCAAUGGUGUGCUGGUAGCUUCUGAGCAGCAUGCUAGGUACCAAGUUGGGCAGUAGUCUUGUUCUUGCUGUGGGUGGGAGCUG
ensembl:miRNA eca-mir-9045 eca-mir-9045